UACAACGGGUGGAGUAUUCCGAGCUAACAAUAGUUUUAUGGUAGAGGUCGAGUCCGUUUUUCUGACAUAACAUAGCGAGGUUUGGGUGUUGCGGAAGAAACCAGACUUUUACUUCUUGGCUGAGCUAUUUGUUGUG